rnacentral:lncRNA from 1 species
AGAACUCUGAGGAAUAGCAACAUGGUUAAAAUAAGAGAGCCUAUGAAUAAGAAGGAAGCAGCUGUCAGGGACGUAGAAGCAGAACCAAGAGAAUAUAGUGGGAAAGAUCAUUAAAGAGGUUGGGGGCCCAUGCUGCUGGAGGCUUUAGUAAUAUAGACAUGGAAAAACUUCCAUUCACUUCUCAAUUCACUUCUUCUUCCAUUCACUCUCAAAGUCAUUGGUAGGCCCAUCAAAAAUAACUCCCCAAAACAUGGACCAGUAGAAAGGGGCAGAAGCCACGGGGCAUUAGUCUUAGGAACAAACGGGAGAUGGCCAAGUGGGGGAGAGAGUGAAGACAGUCUAGAAGGGGUUAUGGAAGAACACCACCCCACCCCCAAGGAGAGCAGCAGAGGAUCAGGAACCCAUGCGAGAAGACAUUUGUUAAGAAAUCAAAUCCAGAGGCAUGACUUGUAGUUCCAGAUGUCCCAGAAGACAGAAACUUGUGGAUUCCUUGAUCAUGACAGCAUUGAAAUUCUGAGGCACAUCUUUCUUCAUCAUGAGAGAUAGGAAUGGUUCCUAAAAGUGUCUCCGAAAUUUAAGUAAAAAGGAGGUCAUGACAUCAUUAAGAGUGCCUGUGCAUAGGUCCUAUGCUGACUGCUCCUGUGUUAUGGAGAGGGGAAUGAAACUGGAAGAAUCUGCAGCUCUUCCUGGACUUGGUUGUUCCAAACUUCUCAUCAAAUUAGACACUCUCCCCGCUAUUACACUCCCGACCCAAAUAACCAAGAUGCCAACAAGCAAAUACGAGUCUCGGAAAAUCUUCCAUCACAGAAACAAUUCAAUCAAGAGAGCUUUCCAGUAAUUUACUAUGACUACGUCUAUGAGCACUCACCAGCAGUCUAUCAUCCUAUUCCUCCACUUGGCUACUUCCUAGACUCAUCAACCAGUGAAGGAGAAAUGUAACCUUGAUCCCCAGUGUGAGCCCAGGGAGCCCCAUGGCUCCCUAUAAGCUUUGGGACUAUUCUGACCAGGGACAUGGGAACAGAUGUAUGUCAACACUGCUGGCUCUGGCCUCCUGCAGUACAGUAUGUUACAAAAAGAAAAACAGUGUGGCAAUGCUGAUCAAGUUGCCAGUAAACACUACUUGGAACCCUCAGGAUGAGGGUUCAUUCGUUUCCUAUUACUUCAAGUUAAGAUGGAAACGCAGUCUGGUGUCCUCCACAGCCGUGGUUCAUGGACGGUUAGUGUCAACAUCGCUGAGGAACAUGUUGGAAAAUCACAGUCUCAGGCCCGACUUCCAUCCUACUAAAGCAGAAUCUCUGAGGAUAAGACCCAGGAAACAAGCUGUCCAGAAGAUACGGACCAAAAUUUUGGAAGCAAAGAGGACUUGGAGGUGCAAAGCUAGUGUGUUGUUCUGCUGAGACUCCUCCAUCGUCCGAAUUAUAGGAAGCUGUCAGGAAAACAUGCAGUCUCCAAGGGAAUAACAGGAUGGGGAGCUGAUUUACCUUGGUUCUGGGAAUUUGGGAAUUAAGAAAUAUGUGUAGCUGAGGAAGAGGAAUGCUUUGCUUAAGCAAAUACAGUGUUAAGAUUCAGUAAUUACCAGUACAUCUCGG